rnacentral:pre_miRNA from 1 species
UCUUAUGGAUGAGCAAAGAAAGUGAUUUCUUGAGAUGGACUCUACUCCUAGUAGAAAUGCUGUGAA